UGCACACCCCUUAGAUCCGUUUCUGACUUUUUAAGAAGCGAUUGAGUCAUUGGUAUGCUAGAGCACGAUAACUCCAAAAUUAGUUAUUUUUAAUAAAAUGAUAAUGAUGCAUUUUAUGCUAACUAUUCUGGGGAACAA